GUUUCCCUCUCCGACCAGUAGGUGAUGCUGUACCUGGAGCUCGAUCCUCUGGAAGGCCGUCGACCCCGAUGUAGACGCGCACAACCAACGAGCGAACGCGUGCGGAGAGGCCAUGCACCAGCGAAAAAAAUUGCUCUCUCUUUCUUUCUGUACUCCUGCCACGAUGCACGAACUUUCUGUGCACGUGAGUAGUACAUAGUCGUAGAUCCACUCGUUUCUAACGACCGACGUCGCAUCUUGCACCUGCGAUGCUUCGUCGGGAGUCAUGGAAUGUUUCUCUACACUAACGCAAAUCUAUGAUAACAACUUUGUAAAAUCGUGUAUUACUUUGUGAGCAUUAUUCAUCCCAAGUAAUUCAGUCGUAGAUAGUAUUAAGUGGACACACGUUAAAAUGAAAUAACUUUUUUAAUUGGACCGAGACACUUAUUGCCCACGACUGUAUGUGGGAUUAUUAUCAUUCUACGAACGUCGGGGCUCGAAGGUUAAUGAUCGUCUGAGAUUGAUCACAUGACAGGACCAAUCAUUAACGAUGACGCAAAUGCAUACUUUUGAUUAAACCAGACCUCGAAUUAGUCGCGGUAGUGUGGUUUAUUAACGAGGCGCCAAGUUUGUCGAUCUUGUUUAGAAUAUUCGUCUGGUACGACACACGGCUGAUACAUCGAUUUCGAUUUGCCAGUACGCCACAAUUAAUAUUUUUUAACAAAAAUUGUUAUUAUGUUGCGGAUUAAACGGUUGCUAAUUAUAAACUUUUUCUAUAGUAUUUAAAGUGCAGUUAAAAUAAAUGAAAUCUCUAAUGGCUAAUAUGCUAGAACGAAAAGUGAAAUUUAAAUAAAACAGGAAUUAACCAACCUCGCAAACUUAUUACACAAUGAUUUGAAAAACAUUCGCUGUAUUUAUUGUUUGUUUAGUACGUUCGUCAGAGAUAUUCUUUCUUUUAUCUGCGUUGUGGCAUAAGCAUGGAAAAAUUUCUUUUUAAAAGAAAGGAAUACUUUCGUGCGCUUUAUGUGCUACAGUGAAAAUGUUAACUAUUGAAGUAAUUACGCGAAAUUUUUUUUAUGAAGUAUGUACUGGUAACAAUUGAUUCGCAGAGAUUUUGCGCAAUUGGUCACAGGUAGUAAAUUGAAUGUUUUUAUUUGUA